UAAAGCGAUUCAGCGGGUUACGAUUGACGGAGCGGAGCGACGUCAAAGCGUAUACAAAGUCGAGUCGGUUUAAGGAUACGUUCGUUGGGUAGGGGAGCGUUCUGUAAGCCUGUGAAGGUGUGUCGUGAGGCAUGCUGGAGGUAUCAGAAGUGCGAAUGCUGACAUAAGUAACGAUAAAGCGGGUGAAAAGCCCGCUCGCCGGAAGACCAAGGGUUCCUGUCCAACGUUAAUCGGGGCAGGGUGAGUCGACCCCUAAGGCGAGGCCGAAAGGCGUAGUCGAUGGGAAACGGGUUAAUAUUCCCGUACUUGGUGUUACUGCGAAGGGGGGACGGAGAAGGCUAUGUUGGCCGGGCGACGGUUGUCCCGGUUUAAGCGUGUAGGUGUGUGUUCCAGGUAAAUCCGGUUCACUUUAACACUGAGGCGUGACGACGAGGCACUACGGUGCUGAAGCAACAAAUGCCCUGCUUCCAGGAAAAGCCUCUAAGCAUCAGGUAACAUCAAAUCGUACCCCAAACCGACACAGGUGGUCAGGUAGAGAAUACCAAGGCGCUUGAGAGAACUCGGGUGAAGGAACUAGGCAAAAUGGUGCCGUAACUUCGGGAGAAGGCACGCUGACACGUAGGUGAAGUGAUUUACUCACGGAGCUGAAGUCAGUCGAAGAUACCAGCUGGCUGCAACUGUUUAUUAAAAACACAGCACUGUGCAAACACGAAAGUGGACGUAUACGGUGUGACGCCUGCCCGGUGCCGGAAGGUUAAUUGAUGGGGUCAGCGCAAGCGAAGCUCCUGAUCGAAGCCCCGGUAAACGGCGGCCGUAACUAUAACGGUCCUAAGGUAGCGAAAUUCCUUGUCGGGUAAGUUCCGACCUGCACGAAUGGCGUAAUGAUGGCCAGGCUGUCUCCACCCGAGACUCAGUGAAAUUGAACUCGCUGUGAAGAUGCAGUGUACCCGCGGCAAGACGGAAAGACCCCGUGAACCUUUACUAUAGCUUGACACUGAACAUUGAGCCUUGAUGUGUAGGAUAGGUGGGA
rnacentral:rRNA from 1 species